CCCUUUCCAACCAACCCCACACUGCCUCCCCCUGCCUGUAGAAUUAAUCACUCCCUUUUCAAUGAACCCACAGAAUUUUGCAUAUACAUGCUUCUUUCUCUCUUACCAUGGUAUCAAGUAAGAUGUGCAGACCACUCUCUCUCACAAACCUGUGAGCCCUUCUGGGGCAGAGGUUAACGCUUAUUCGUAUACAAACCACCAGUAUCCAGGAUAGUGCCUGCUACAGAAGAGGUUCCGACAAAAUGAUGUUGGUAGCCAUGUGCAUUGGGGUUAAGAGGGGCUUUGGAGUCAAAGAGACCAAGUUUGGUACCUAGAAAAUACCAUUCGUUAGCUCCAGGACUUGCAGUAGGUUAUGCAGUAUCUCUGUGGUAGGUAGAGUACUAGCUCCUUCCCCCCAAACAUGUUCGUGUCUUACUCCUUGGACCCUAGGGACCUGUAAGGGAAAUUCGGAUUGCAGAUGAAAUUAAGGUUGCUAAUCAGUUGAACUUAAAAUAGGGAGAAUAGUUCAGAUUACCCAGGUGGGCCCAAUACAAUCACAAAGGUCCUUAAAAGUGAAAGGCUGAGGCAGAAAAGGGGUCCAUGUGAUGCAACAUGAGAAUGACUCAACCCAACUUUGCUGGUUUUGAAGCUGGAGGGAGGCUAAUGCAAGGACUGUGGGCAGCUUCUAGAAAACUAGGAAAGACAUGGAAAUAGAGUCUCCCCUAAAGCCUCCGGAAAAACAUGCAGCACUGCAAACGCCUAGGUGCAAAUCAAAAAUUAUAUGUUACAUGACUUGAGAAGGCUUAAAAAGUAGAAAAGUUCUGAUUCUUUCUCUGGAGCACUAGGCCUCAAUGAGUUACUUUUCCAUGAAGAAUGUCUAGAAAAACUCAAUAAUUCUCAGUUUACCCUCCUCCAAGAGAGAUAUAUAUAUAUCUUUUGUUUUUAGUAAAUGAGAGUCCAUUUAUAUCUAUAUACUUAUAUCUCUAUAUAUCUUUUGUUUUUAGUAAAAGAGAGUCCAUUUCUGAAAUCCUGAUAGAACAUAUUAAAUAUAUGUUUUUAAUGAAUAAAUAUUUUUAAUGAAAAUGUAUAUUUAGUGAACAGAUAUAUCACCAACAAUGCCACCGCCCAGAGUAAUCAUACUUGACGUUUUGGAGACUAUAAUUUUAGGGGUGUGCAUGUGUAUGUGUUUGUGUGUGCGUGUGUAUCUGGGCAUCUACAAACAUGGCAUAAAAUCUUAAAAUCUUUACAAGUUUUCCUUAUCAGGCACAUAACACAAACAGCCUUGCCAUUUAUUUUUCUUCUUUGACAUCCCUCAGAAAAAAUUUGGAGUCUUUAGAAAGGUCUAACACAUUUCUAAUUAUAUUUAGUCUUCAAAAUUUUAUGUUUGUGUAGCUACUGUGAAGCUUUUCUAUUGCAUGUUCUAAGAGGUUAUUGAGGAUGUGGCUAUAUUUUUUCAUUAUGUAUACUAAAAUUAUCUUUCUGUACUCUCUUAGUUCUAAUAUUUUUUUUCAAUAAAUUCCCAGAUAUUUUCCAAAGAAGCAAUUAUGUUUUCUAAAAAUAAUGGUAGGAGUUCCCAUUGUGGCACAGUGGAAACGAAUCCAACUAGGAACCAUGAGGUUGCAGGUUCGAUCUCUGGCCUCCCUCAGUGGGUUAAGGAUCUGGCAUUGCUGCCAGCUGUGGUGUAGGUCAUCCUUAACCCACUGAGCAAGGCCAGGGAUAGAACCUGCGUCCUCAUGGUUACAAGCUGGGCUCGUUACCACUGCGCCACAAUGGGAAUUCCUUUUUAUUUAUUUUAAACAUUUCUUUUUUAAUAAUAAAAGCAUCAAAUGCUAUGAAUUUCCUCUGAGUACAGUUUUCACCAGAAUGUUAUCAUUAGUAUUUCCUAAGUAGUUUAUAAUUGCACUUUGGAUUUAGUCUUUGAUCCCAGAGCUAUUUAGGAGAAAUAUUUUAUGAGUUUUCCCCCAAACUCAAAAGCUUGAUCAUUUUUUUCUGUUUAUUUAUUUUUUAAAAAUUUCUAAGUUUGCUGGCUCUAUCACCAGCAUCUACCAU
rnacentral:lncRNA from 1 species